GACAGAGGGUGCAAACGUUGCUCGGAAUUACUGGGCGUAAAGCGCGUGUAGGUGGCCACGCAAGUCAGGUGUGAAAGCCCAGGGCUCAACCCUGGAAGUGCACAUGAUACUACGUGGCUGGAGUACUGAAGAGGAGAGCGGAAUUCCCGGUGUAGAGGUGAAAUUCGUAGAUAUUCGCAAGAACACCAGUGGCGAAGGCGGCUUACUGGUCCGGUUCUGACGCUGAGGCGCGAAAGCGUGGGGAGCAAACAGG
rnacentral:rRNA from 1 species